ensembl:lncRNA
CAGGGCCGCCCCCUCGCAGCAGCUCCCGGAACUGGGCACUUUCCGCCUUGUUUUUCGCCUGUUUUGGGGUUGUUACUUUUCUUUUCCAGUGCAGAAAAAAAACAGGCAGCAGUGGGUAAAUCCUUCCCCCCCCCCGCAGGCCGUCUGCGAGCUGCGACCCGUCUGUGGGAGCCCCGGGAACGGACGCACCUUCCUCCCCGGCCUGCAAGGGUCUCCACAGACUCAAAUCCCAGGACAGGAUCACUGCAUCUUCUGACGUCUUGUUUGAAGCUGCCAAGGAGAUGUGGACAGAAUUGCGGCGAGCGCACAGUGUGUAUAUUUCCCUCUGGGUAACCAUCAUGGUUGAUGAGGCUGAGGUUUGAGAAAUGUAUCUGGAUAAGCUCUAUGGCACGAUGGCCCUUACUCCUCAGAAAGAUUUUCUCCAGCUGAAUUGGCAACACCUCUGUCCUGUCUUCUUUGAAGUAAAUCAUUCAAGGGCAUCAUACAACUGGCGAAGAAGGUGCUAAAUGGCGAGCAAACAAGAAGAUCAUGCAACGCGUCUAGUUUGGGUGUCUGCCUUAGUCUUCUGGAAACUGCUGUGUUGCCCUUGUAUUUUUCUCCACACGUGAAACGGUGCUUGCACGAGUGGCCAAGUCGCACCCUCUGCUCCCUCCUCCCCUGCCCCGCAAAAAAGAAAAGAGGUUUUGUUUUUAAACUUCUUGAAAGCCUUUUGAGAAGUAUUAGCUCCAUAGGUGCUCUGUGUCCAUAAGAAGCAGUGAGCGGCAUCCCUCCUUUUCAGAUAGGUUGGAAUUGAUGCACUGAUCGGGCACGGGUUCGAGAAAGAAACUGCCCCGUCCUUCUGCAUCAUCUGUGGCUGAGACAUGCUGAGCCUUUACCUUUCUCUGAUUCUUGACAGUGCCUACAAAUGCGUCCAAACAAGAAGAAAUACACCAUGCCAAGGUAUAUGCAUUUUUUCAAAAGAAUCAAGGUCUCCGCAGACCUAAAUCCCAGGACAGAAUCGCUGCCUCUUCUGACAGCUUGUUUGAAGCUGCCGAGGAGCUGGGGACGGCAUUGCAGAGAGUGCAUGAGAASGAGUAUUACCUCAUACUGAUGCUGCUUAUGAAAGGCAAGACACAGCUGCUGAAGGAGGCAGCGUGAGUUCAGGAAGAGAAACAAAAGAGGGUGAAUUUGCCACAGAAGAGGAGAACAGCAACAGCAGCUACAGUCCAGUACAAGUGAAUUUACUCAUAGAGAUGACUCUGUCACCUGGUGCUGAUAAUUCAGAUAGUUCAGCUCAGCCUAGACUCUGGGGCGACUCAGAUCCUGGUGAUGACUCUUUGUCCAAUACAUGCAUUUGUUCACAUUCAUCAGAAGAGGAGGAGAAUUGGUGCAGAACAUCUGGAUCUGAUGAGUCCGAGUGUGUAUAUCCUCAGUAACAGUGGAUAUAUGCACAAUGGAUUCCUCUUCUGAGUAGACCAUGAAGAAUGCUCAGUGGAGCAGAAGGUCUCCUCUUGUUUGAUCAUGGAUAGCCAGGAAAGUUUAGCUGCCGUCAUUUGACACAGCGUGAUCAUGACUUCAUCCAGUGAGUGCUGAAGGUCAGGUUCUCUUCUGCAAGCGUGGUAAUAAAGUAAUAAAGCCAUUUUGAACCUGGGACUGC